CACGUAGGGGGCGAGCGUUGUCCGGAUUCAUUGGGCGUAAAGGGCGCGCAGGCGGCUCGGUAAGUCGGGUGUGAAAACUCGGGGCUCAACCCCGGGCGUGCAUCCGAUACUGCCGGGCUUGAGGCAGGUAGGGGAGAUCGGAAUUCCUGGUGUAGCGGUGAAAUGCGCAGAUAUCAGGAGGAACACCGGUGGCGAAGGCGGAUCUCUGGGCCUGUCCUGACGCUGAGGCGCGAAAGCUAGGGGAGCGAACAGG
rnacentral:rRNA from 1 species